AUGUUAGAUAAUGGCAACCAUUUUCCUCAACUGGUCAUCGUAUUUGUACACCAGGACCCACCACAAAGUCCAGUAGUCCACUGCCUGUUACCAAAAAACAUUUUCCUUCCUAGUAGGAACGUGUGUUCUAACAACACUACACUUAUUUACAGUAGCUCUGUUCUGCCUCCAAUACUGGUAAAUUUCUGCAACAUAGUUGAAUUGAUUUGUUAUACUACAUGUGCGGGCUAUAAAAGGCCGAUUCACUUAUGCAUUGCUUGUUUUCUGCUUGUAUUUGGUAUCUGGACUGCCCCACACCUCUUUACCUGUAAAUUAAAAUGUAAAAGCUUGCAGGACUGCAAGAUCACUGAUUCUCAGAAAUACAGAAAAGGAAAGAGAAGGGAGAAGAUUAUCCAGUCAACUGGCUAA
rnacentral:rRNA from 1 species